GAUGAACGCUGGCGGCGUGCCUAAUACAUGCAAGUCGAGCGAACAGACGAGGAGCUUGCUCCUCUGACGUUAGCGGCGGACGGGUGAGUAACACGUGGAUAACCUACCUAUAAGACUGGGAUAACUUCGGGAAACCGGAGCUAAUACCGGAUAACAUGUUGAACCGCAUGGUUCAACAGUGAAAGACGGUUUUGCUGUCACUUAUAGAUGGAUCCGCGCCGCAUUAGCUAGUUGGUAAGGUAACGGCUUACCAAGGCAACGAUGCGUAGCCGACCUGAGAGGGGGAUCGGCCACACUGGAACUGAGAAACGGUCCAGACUCCUACGGGAGGCAGCAGUAGGGAAUCUUCCGCAAUGGGCGAAAGCCUGACGGAGCAACGCCGCGUGAGUGAAGAAGGUCUUAGGAUCGUAAAACUCUGUUAUGAGGGAAGAACAAAUGUGUAAGUAACUAUGCACGUCUUGACGGUACCUAAUCAGAAAGCCACGGCUAACUACGUG
rnacentral:rRNA from 1 species